AUAAAUUGGAUGGUCCGAAGGACCACAUUAAUCUUUAAAAUGGUCGAAUAUCGAUCUCUCCACACUUGUAAUUGCGAGGUGGCUUUGCAUCAUUCUUCCUCCUUGUCCGGAAUUGCAUCCCUUGUUCAAAUGAACCAUGGAGCGGAAAUCCCAAACCUCUGAACUUGGAUGAAAUGGUUCCGAAGUUUCUCUCUUGUUCCAUCUGGAAGACGCUCUUCUCUUGGGAAAUACGGCUGCGCAGCUCUAACAAAGAUUUUCAUUGCUUGGACCGCCUCUGAUGAAGUUACAUAAGCUUUACCAGUGAAUUAACCGAGUGGGA
rnacentral:lncRNA from 1 species